AAAGAAGAUAAAAGGAAAUGAGGUAAAGAAAAGGAAGAGGGAAAAGUAUUCAUGUCAUUUUUAAAAACAGAUGCUUUGGAUCUGAAACAAAUGAGGAAGCUGAAUGUACUUCCCUUGGAAGCAUAUUCCAUACUCUUAUCCCGGCAAUUCUGAACGAUACAACUAAAGUUUUGGAGGAGUGUUGAAGGGAUGGUAUAUGAUUGGUGCAUUUGGAUAUCUUGAUCUAACACAGGAAUAAGCAAUUUGAAGGUGAUGAGCUGAUUGAGAAUCUAAG